rnacentral:rRNA from 1 species
GAUGAACGCUGGCGGUGCGCCUAACACAUGCAAGUCGAGCGCCCCGCAAGGGGAGCGGCAGACGGGUGAGUAACGCGUGGGAAUCUACCCAUCUCUACGGAAUAACGCAUGGAAACGUGUGCUAAUACCGUAUACGUCCUUCGGGAGAAAGAUUUAUCGGAGAUGGAUGAGCCCGCGUUGGAUUAGCUAGUUGGUGGGGUAAAGGCCUACCAAGGCGACGAUCCAUAGCUGGUCUGAGAGGAUGAUCAGCCACACUGGGACUGAGACACGGCCCAGACUCCUACGGGAGGCAGCAGUGGGGAAUAUUGGACAAUGGGCGCAAGCCUGAUCCAGCCAUGCCGCGUGAGUGAUGAAGGCCCUAGGGUUGUAAAGCUCUUUCACCGGUGAAGAUAAUGACGGUAACCGGAGAAGAAGCCCCGGCUAACUUCGUGCCAGCAGCCGCCGUAA